AUUGAACGCUGGCGGCAGGCCUAACACAUGCAAGUCGAACGAGUGGCGGACGGGAGAGUAAUGGCUGGGAAUCGGCCCGAUGGAGGGGGAUAACUAAUGGAAACGGUAACUAAUACCGCAUACCAUCGGAUGAGCCCGAGUGGGAUUAGCUAGGGGGUGGGGUAACGGCUCACCGAGACGAGGAGCCCUAGCGGGUCUGAGAGGAUGACCAGCCACACUGGAACUGAGACACGGUCCAGACUCCUACGGUGGGCAGCAGUGGGGAAUAUUGCACAAUGGGCGCAAGCCUGAUGCAGCCAUGCCGCGUGUAUGAAGAAGGCCUUCGGGUUGUAAAGUACUUUCAGCGAGGAGGCGUUACUCGCAGAAGAAGCACCGGCUAACUCCGUGCCAGCAGCCGCGGUAAUUC
rnacentral:rRNA from 1 species